rnacentral:pre_miRNA from 1 species
UGUGUACUCCCUCCGUUCCAAAAUACUUGACUUCCAUUUGUCCAAAAAUGGAUGUACCUAUAUACUAAAACAUGUGUAGAUACAUAUAUAUUUUGACAAAUAGAAGGCAUGUAUUGUGCAACGGAGGGAGUAGAAU